GAUGAACGCUGGCGGCGUGCCUAAUACAUGCAAGUCGAGCGAACAGACGAGGAGCUUGCUCCUCUGACGUUAGCGGCGGACGGGUGAGUAACACGUGGAUAACCUACCUAUAAGACUGGGAUAACUUCGGGAAACCGGAGCUAAUACCGGAUAAUAUAUUGAACCGCAUGGUUCAAUAGUGAAAGACGGUUUUGCUGUCACUUAUAGAUGGAUCCGCGCCGCAUUAGCUAGUUGGUAAGGUAACGGCUUACCAAGGCGACGAUGCGGAGCCGACCUGAGAGGGUGAUCGGCCACACUGGAACUGAGACACGGUCCAGACUCCUACGGGAGGCAGCAGUAGGGAAUCUUCCGCAAUGGGCGAAAGCCUGACGGAGCAACGCCGCGUGAGUGAUGAAGGUCUUCGGAUCGUAAAACUCUGUUAUUAGGGAAGAACAAAUGUGUAAGUAACUAUGCACGUCUUGACGGUACCUAAUCAGAAAGCCACGGCUAACUACGUG
rnacentral:rRNA from 1 species